rnacentral:rRNA from 1 species
GACAGAGGGUGCAAGCGUUGUUCGGAAUUACUGGGCAUAAAGCGCACGUAGGCGGUUCGCUAAGUCUGUCGUGAAAUCCCCCGGCUCAACCGGGGAAUAGCGUCGGAUACUGGCGAGCUCGAGGUCGAUAGGGGUAAGUGGAACUCCAGGUGGAGCGGUGAAAUGCGUAGAUAUCUGGAGGAACACCGGUGGCGAAAGCGGCUUACUGGAUCGAAUCUGACGCUGAGGUGCGAAAGCUAGGGUAGCAAACGGG